UACGAAGGGGGCUAGCGUUGUUCGGAAUUACUGGGCGUAAAGGGCGCGCAGGCGGCUCUUCAAGUCAGAUGUGAAAGCCCCGGGCUCAACCUGGGAACUGCAUUUGAGACUGGAGAGCUUGAGUUCGGGAGAGGAUGGUGGAAUUCCCAGUGUAGAGGUGAAAUUCGUAGAUAUUGGGAGGAACACCAGUGGCGAAGGCGGCUCACUGGACCGGAACUGACGCUGAGGCGCGAAAGCGUGGGUAGCAAACAGG
rnacentral:rRNA from 1 species